UGGGGAGCAAACAGGAUUAGAUACCCUGGUAGUCCACGCAGUAAACGAUGAAUGUUAGUCGUCGGGGGCCUCGUGUCUUCGGUGAUGCAGCUAACGCAUUAAACAUUCCGCCUGGGGAGUACGGUCGCAAGAUUAAAACUCAAAGGAAUAGACGGGGACCCGCACAAGUGGUGGAGCAUGUGGUUUAAUUCGAAGAUACGCGAAGAACCUUACCUAGCCUUGACAUAUUUUAGAACUCCGUAGAGAUACAGAGGUGCCUUCGGGAGCUAAUUUACAGGUGCUGCACGGCUGUCGUCAGCUCGUGUCGUGAGAUGUUGGGUUAAGUCCCGCAACGAGCGCAACCCUCGUCACUAGUUACUAACGGUUCGGCCGAGGACUCUAGUGAGACUGCCUUCGUAAGGAGGAGGAAGGUGAGGACGACGUCAAGUCAUCAUGGCCCUUACGGCUAGGGCAACACACGUGCUACAAUGGCCAGGACAGUGAGACGCGAUACCGCGAGGUGGAGCAAAUCUAUAAACCUGGUCUCAGUUCGGAUUGUAGUCUGCAACUCGACUACAUGAAGCUGGAAUCACUAGUAAUCGUAGAUCAGCUAUGCUACGGUGAAUACGUUCCCGGGUCUUGUACUCACCGCCCGUCACACCAUGGGAGUUGAUUUCACCCGAAGCGGGGAAGCUAAACUGGCUACCCUCCACGGUGGAAUUAGCGACUGGGGUGAAGUCGUAACAAGGUA
rnacentral:rRNA from 1 species